AUGUACACCGCUUACCAGGUGGACGAACAUACGUUCAAGGUGUGUUCUCUCUUGGGCAUGUCGGAUUCAGAACCUGAAGACCCAGACAAAGGAAGGAACUACUUUGUGAAGGCCUCAAUAAAAGAAGGCAAAUACUACUACCAAUACUGCAAAUUCGAACGGGAUGGGAUUGUGUGCUGCCACAUACUAAAAGUAAUGGACAUGAACACGGUGACACGAGUGCCUUGCCAUUUCAUACGGCGGCGAUGGACUUGGGACGCUGACGACGCAUUGGGGCCACAAACAUCAAAUGCAGUUUUGGCUGUGUAUGAUGAGAGACCAGAGUCAACCAUGGAAGUCGUCAGGCACGUUGUGUUGACAACGAACUAUGCUGAACUAAUAGAUGAAGCGUGCAAGAGUGAUGAGACAGCGAGGGUUGCAGAAAAACACAGGAAGGCCCUGAAAAGAGAGCUUGAUGAGAUCAAAAAGAGGAAAGCUGAGGAAGCCUUACACAGGUUCCCCCACACCUCAAGUGUGCCUUCGUCCAUGGGGCCAUCAUCUGAAAACUCGAAGGUAGGAUCUGGAACAGCAAGCACACAAACCCAGGUCAGGAACCCUCCCCUUCCAUCACAAAGGGCGUCCAAAAGAGAUAAGAUACAAAUCGGGAUUGGAGAUUCAAGCAAAACACAAGAAAGCAAAGAAAGGGGCGAGUAA
rnacentral:rRNA from 1 species